AUUGAACGCUGGCGGCAUGCCUUACACAUGCAAGUCGAACGGCAGCACAGUCGUAGCAAUACGAUGGGUGGCGAGUGGCGGACGGGUGAGGAAUACAUCGGAAUCUACCUUGUCGUGGGGGAUAACGUAGGGAAACUUACGCUAAUACCGCAUACGAACUAUGGUUGAAAGCGGCGGACCGCAAGGCGUCGCGCGAUUGGAUGAGCCGAUGUCCGAUUAGCUAGUUGGCGGGUAAAGGCCACCAAGGCGACGAUCGGUAGCUGGUCUGAGAGGAUGAUCAGCCACACUGGAACUGAGACACGGUCCAGACUCCUACGGGAGGCAG
rnacentral:rRNA from 1 species